rnacentral:misc_RNA from 1 species
GAUGAAGACGCAGUGAAAUGCGAUACGUAAUGUGAAUUGCAGAAUUCAGUGAAUCAUCGAAUCUUUGAACGCACAUUGCGCCUGCCAGCACUCUGGCAGGCAUGCCUGUUCGAGCGUCAUUUCAACCAUCAAGCCCUAGGCUUGCGUUGGAGCCCUGCGGCUGCCGCAGGCCCCUAAAAGCAGUGGCGGGCUCGCUAUCACACCGAGUGCAGUAGAUUACUCUUCGCUCAGGGCGUGUGGCGGGUUCCAGCCGUGAAACCCCCUACUUCUCAAGGUUGACCUCGGAUCAGGUAGGAAUACCCGCUGAACUUAAGCAUAUCAAUAAGCGGAGGA